AUCUGUGGUUUCACAUCAAACACAGUUUGUACACUGAUAAUACAGUCAAGAAACAGAUGGAGAUCAGUGACAACAAUGGAUAAAAGAAACCAAAAUGAGUUUUGCUCAAGGCUUGUUCAUUUUUAAGGGCUUUGCACCAGCAGUGGUAGUGAACUCUGGGAGUUUCACACUUUCUACAUCAUUAAAUCUGUGGACAAAGAGUAAUGGUCUUCAAAGUCUUGAUGGAAGAAAAGUGUUGAACCUUGCUGCCUGUUCCUCUCCUGCGCAGUGUGAAGAGGGAAAGACAGUACACCCUCAUGUUCAUCAGUUCUCUGCUCACUUGUCUUUUAUCUUUCCAGUGUCAUGCUUUCUUUUCCUGUCACCUUUAUAUCCUUGCAUUAUUUCCCCUAAAUAAAGACUAUUUAAAUCUUA